rnacentral:rRNA from 1 species
UACGUAGGCAGCAAGCGUUGUUCGGAAUUACUGGGCGUAAAGAGUGUGUAGGCGGUGCUCUAAGUUCGGUGUGAAAUCUCCCGGCUCAACUUGGAGGGUGCGCCGGAAACUGGAGUGCUCGAGCGUGGGAGAGGAAAGCGGAAUUCCUGGUGUAGCGGUGAAAUGCGUAGAUAUCAGGAGGAACACCUGCGGUGUAGACGGCUUUCUGGACCAUUGCUGACGCUGAGACACGAAAGCGUGGGUAGCAAACAGG